GGGCAGAGAGAGAAGGAGACACAGAAUCUGAAGCAGGCUCCAGGCUCUGAGCAAGCAGUCAGCACAGAGCCUGAUGCGGAGCUUGAACCCACAAACCGUGAGAUCAUGACCUGAGCUGAAGUCGGACGCUCAACCGACUGAGCCACCCAGGCGCCUCUAUUUAUUCAUGUUUUUAAAGGGAAGAAGAAGAAUCUGAAGUUUUAGGGGGAUAAUCUCCUGAUUAUUCAAUGCUGCCAACAAAAUAAAAAUUUAAUCAAGCUUUUGUUUUAAAUCCAGUAGAGUUAACAUAAAAUCAACUUUUUAAUAAACACUUGAGUAGGUUAGAUUCUACCGGGGGUGACCUGCUUAUGACCUCUAAUUUAAACUACUCAGGACAGAUUAUUGCUGUCUUAAAUAUUGGUACUCCCCCCCCCCCUUUAAAAAUUUUGAUUUAUUUUGUAAGCCCUGUUUCCCUCAGAGAGAUUUCUAGUAAUUUCUUACUUGGUCAAGUUGCCUUUACAAUGUCCCUGCUCUGUGCUCUCUCCUGACAGAGUGUCCCAAGGGUCCUGACAUCCUGGUGGUCCUACUCUCAGUGAUGGGGGCCAUUUUGCUCAUCGGCCUUGCUACUCUGCUCAUCUGGAAGCUCCUCAUCACCAUCCAUGACCGGAAGGAGUUUGCUAAAUUUGAGGAAGAGCGAGCCAGAGCAAAAUGGGACACAGCCAACAACCCACUGUAUAAAGAGGCCACAUCCACCUUCACCAACAUCACCUACCGGGGCACUUAAUGACAAGCAGUCAUCCUCAGUUCACUGUCAGGCUGUCCCAGAAUUGUGGACACAUCUGCUGUCAUGUUUACAGGGAACGAAAUCUGUGGGGCAGGAUCGGGGGCUGGGAGUGGGGUGGGUUACAAGAAUGUCAGUAUGUGGAGGUGUGCGUCUCUGUGCGUGUGUACGCGUGAGUGUGCUGCAUGUGGGGGAGUAUGUAAUUUAAAACUUGAGGUGUGUCCAGACACGUGGAGCUCCUCAGCCUUUGUCCGCAGAAUGCCUCCUUCAGGGAUCCUUCCUGCUUAACCUUAGGGUGACCCACGUAGCUGAGCAGGUACUGUUCAUUACCUCAGUGAGAAGCCAGCUUUCCUUUUCCGGCCAUUUCUCCCGAAGAGAAGGGCAGGGCUGAGCCUCUCAUUCCAGAGGAAGGGGCCUUGACUCUGCCUUGAGUUUACGGUUCUUGGGUCCGACGCUCAGCAGCUCUGAUAGCAAAUGCUGGGCUCUGCAGCCUUGUUGUGUCAUCUGGACUUUGAUCUCCUUUGCCUUCCCUCAGGCUGAAGGAGAAAUCAGAAGCAAGCGGAGCCAUCGGAGUUGCCUAUGUCUUUCGCUAUCCCCUCAAUCCAGUAUGGUUCUCUCACAAGGGGAGCCCUUGCCAGCAAUUCUGUUGGGAGUGAGGAUGGGAAGGCCACUCAGGGGUCAUGCAUGGCCUGGAUGAAUGUGCCAGAGUCCCCCAGUUCAUAAUCAUCACCCUUCAGAUUUGUCUCCUUGGCACCCCACCCUAGAAGUUCGAUUGGAGGACGCGUGUUACCCUUAGACCAGCAUCACCUCUUUACCUUCUACGUCCACACUCUCACUGCUGUAGACACUUGCUACGUACUGGGAAUUUCUUUCAUGACCGGACGCUUUUCCUCCCAGGGAGAGUGCUGUGAUGAGAGCCAGAGAUCUGGCCCCGCCCUUCAGGCCCUCUGCCCCUUGUCCAAGGCACCCCCCCGCCCCUACACCCAAUCUGGUGCUUCUGUGUGCUACAUCCAUCCAUGGGGCUGAUUGCACUUAUCUACCUCUCGGCUGUCUUGUGAAGGAAUCAUUCCCAUGGGUCUCUGAGUCUGCUGGGCAUAUGUGCCACAUUUAGAAGGAUGGGCCAGUUGGAUCAGCGUGUGUGGCCUCUUCUCCUAUGGGCUGGGCAACCUCAUUUUAACUCAGUCUUUAAUCUGAGAGGCCACAAGUGCAGUUUUAUUUUAUUUUUCUCAUUGGGUCACCUGAAACCAUGAUGAGGCUUGCUUAAUCUAAAGGAAUACGUACAGAAACACAUUUGCAUUAUAUUUUGUAGUUUUAUUUGAGGAGGAGGAGCAUAUUUAAAAACAACAACAACAACCCCACACAGACUUGGGAUGGAUACAGACCCUCCCACUUGGCAUCAUUCAUAGGGAGUUGCUGCCCAUUUGCUGGAUCUGUAGGGGCUCUCUCAUCCUGGGAGCCUGUGGGGAUGGCCCCCCGGGCAUGCUGGGCCAUUUCUGAGCAGGAGGGGUACAAGUGGUUCUUUUCUCCGAGCAGUUGCUUCCUUGGUGUUCACAUUGGUCUAAACAUUAACCACCACCCUCACCCCCCAUUCAUCAAGGAAAAGGAAAGAGCUAUAGACCGUGGUCUGAUGAUCAGAAAAUGUAAGUCCUGGCCUCAUUGUUGCAGCUGAGGAAGCUUUACCCUUAAUUAAGGCAAGCCUCUCUUCCUUCCCCUCGGGGCUCAGUUUUCUAGUUUGAAAAAUGAUAGUUUGGACCAGCCAGUCUGGAAGGUGUCUUUCAAUAUCGAUAAUCUGAGAUGCUGGGACUUACUGUGGCAUCAGCCAUUCAGUCAAGAUUCCGUGAGACGUUGAUACUACUUUUUUUGUUGUUAAGUUGGGAGAUCUGAGAGACCGGCUUUUGCAAGAGCGGAUGUCAUUCCACGUCACCUUUCUCAAUGAAAAAGCCUCCUUCUGGCCUCUCUUAGAGCCCCUUCUCCGAUGUUUGUUAGCAGUCACAUUUCCUAAUGUAGCACUCAAGCUCCACUUAGUUUAUUAUUCCUUAGCUCACUUUGCACACGUUUGCAUCCACAUAUAAGGGAGAGGAAUCCAUUAAGAAGUAGCUGAAAUGUGUAUUCUGUAUUCGUGUGUUAACACUGAGAAUAAGCCUUGGAAUUAGGAGUAGGGCAAGUGACUGAGCCUUGUCUCACCCAUGGAUCACUCUUUACUGAAAGGGAUGGUAGUACAGUAGAGGGGUAAAUGGGGGAGGGGAGGGUCGAUAAUGAAUCCAAGAAGUUUAGAACCUAACUAUACCCUUUGGCUACUGAGACAAGAGUCCAUUAAAGCAGUAGUUGGACCUUUUCUUUAGAUAAGAUGGUUUAUAUGAAGACACUAUAUCAAAGGAGGAAGAACAUAUAUUUAAAGGAUGAAAAAAUCAGUAGGACUCUUCUCUGAGCUUCUGGAAGGAGACUCCUAGGCUUUAAAAAGGUGCCGGGUGGUCCAGUUAGGUGUUUGACUUUGGCUGAGGUCAUGAACUCGCAUUUCGUGAGUUCCAGCCCCACAUCAGCCUCUGUGCUGACAGCUCAGAGCCUGGAGCCUGCUUCGGAUUCUGUGUCUCCCUCUCUCUCUGUUCCUCCUCUGUUCACGCUUUCUCAAAAAUAAAUGAAGAUUAAAAAAAAAAAAAAGACCAAUGCUCUUUGUAUGCGGGGAGAACCUGUAGCUGUGUUCGCGAGACAGCAAAUGGCAGUCAGUUUGGGCAUCACGUAGGGUGAACAUCUAAAUAGUAUUUUGGUAUCAGCACAGCCCAAAGAAGUUAUUUAUUUGUGCUCAGCUCAUCUGGAGAGAAUUUAUGUUCAGUCUCAGGGUGUGUGGAUAGUAAUGGGAAGCUUGGGAUGCUCCUGACAAGUUGUCACAUAACGAAUCCCAUCUUUCUCUCUCAGAUAUUCCUAGACCAUCCAUGAUUUCAAGAUCCUUCUCUUUGUUAGGUAUUCCUGGUGGAAAUGACUUAAGUGCCUUCCUGACUUCCUAACCACCCCCUCUGUUUGAAUUGUGCAACAGUAAAUUAAAUGUGCUUUCCAAAAAGAA